UGGGGAAUUUUGGACAAUGGGCGAAAGCCUGAUCCAGCAAUGCCGCGUGUGUGAAGAAGGCCUUCGGGUUGUAAAGCACUUUUGUCCGGAAAGAAAUCCUUGGCUCUAAUACAGUCGGGGGAUGACGGUACCGGAAGAAUAAGCACCGGCUAACUACGUGCCAGCAGCCGCGGUAAUACGUAGGGUGCAAGCGUUAAUCGGAAUUACUGGGCGUAAAGCGUGCGCAGGCGGUUUGCUAAGACCGAUGUGAAAUCCCCGGGCUCAACCUGGGAACUGCUUGGUGACUGGCAGGCUAGAGUAUGGCAGAGGGGGGUAGAAUUCCACGUGUAGCAAGUGAAAUGCGUAGGAGAUGUGGAGGAAUACCGAUGGCGAAGGCAGCCCCCUGGGCCAAUACUGACGCUCAUGCACGAAAGCGUGGGGAGCAAAACAGGAUUAGAUACCCUGGUAGUCCACGCCCUAAAACGAUGUCAACUAGUUGUUGGGGAUUCAUUUCCUUAGUAACGUAGCUAACGCGUGAAGUUGACCGCCUGGGGAGUACGGUCGC
rnacentral:rRNA from 1 species